ensembl:snoRNA
GCAAAUAAGGUAAUCAUUAAAGCAAUCUUCCAAAUGUGUUCCAAAAUAUAAGCAGACACGAACUAUAAUAUACCCAAGUAUUAUACAGAGCAGUGUGUGUUCACUGUAAGGGCAGACCGACAAUAUUCUUCCUACUUGUGGGCUGCCUCUCUUCAAUGGAGGCUGUUCUUCCCGUUGCCAGAGAGAACGUGGGGUAACGAGUGAGAGAGUAGGAAUAGGGCAUGCUUGGGACAUCAGGGUCAGGGAUCCAGAGGGCUUAGCCUGUGCUGUGGCCACUGAGAGAUAAAACACAGAUCUUUGGUAAUCUGAUGGCU